UGGGGAAUAUUGCACAAUGGGGGAAACCCUGAUGCAGCGACGCCGCGUGAGCGAAGAAGGCCUUCGGGUCGUAAAGCUCUUUUAUGAGGGAAGAUAAUGACGGUACCUCAAGAAAAAGCCCCGGCUAACUACGUGCCAGCAGCCGCGGUAAUACGUAGGGGGCUAGCGUUGUCCGGAAUCACUGGGCGUAAAGGGUUCGCAGGCGGAAUAACAAGUCAGAUGUGAAAGGCAUGGGCUCAACCCAUGUAAGCAUUUGAAACUGUAAUUCUUGAGAAGUGGAGAGGUAAGUGGAAUUCCUAGUGUAGCGGUGAAAUGCGUAGAUAUUAGGAGGAAUACCUGUGGCGAAGGCGACUUACUGGACACAAAUCUGACGCUGAGGAACGAAAGCGUGGGUAGCAAACAGG
rnacentral:rRNA from 3 species